rnacentral:antisense_RNA from 1 species
CAGAGGCUCUGAAGGAGAAGGCAGGAGCUGUGGUGGGGCCUGGAGAAGUGCUGUGCGGAAGGAGAAAGGUCUACAGGUCACAAUGAUUCUGGUGUGAAGCAGAGGAUGGGCCAGAAAGAGAUUCAAAAUGCUACAUCUUCAAAUCACUUCACCUGUCCCUCCAGUAGCCCUUCAGGUCCUUGGCAUCUUCAACUCCUGCUAUCCUCACGUGUAAUGACCCUCAAAUUAAGUUCUACAAAUUACCCAGAUCAGAGAUAUGUUCCUUAAAGAUUAAGCUGCUUUAAAGUUGAAAUUGAGAUGAAGGCUCUCAAAAUCCCAAAGAACAAUGCACAGUUAUGCGGCUGUUUGCCAGGGACAGUACUACCAACUGAUAUCACACCAAAAUCUAUUUCCAUGCCUACUUCUCAUUGGUUUCUUGCCAGCCUGCUUUCGUUCUGAUUGGCUGCCUACAUUAUCCCCACCCCCAAUCCAGAAGAAGCCAAGUGAUCUAGUUCUGGGGAAGCUUUCAUUUUUUAACACUCAAGUUAU